rnacentral:rRNA from 1 species
GACGAACGCUGGCGGCGUGCUUAACACAUGCAAGUCGAGCGGAAAGGCCCUUCGGGGUACUCGAGCGGCGAACGGGUGAGUAACACGUGAGUAACCUGCCCUAGGCUUUGGGAUAACCGCGGGAAACCGGGGCUAAUACCAGAUAUGUCCUGGUUCCGCCCUGCGUUGGGUGGAAGGUGUUUUGGGCAUGGGCUGGGCUCGCGGCCUAUCAUCUUGUUGGGGGGGUGAUGGCCUACCAAGGCGAUGACGGGUAGCCGGCCUGAGAGGGCGACCGGCCACACGGGGACUGAGGCACGGCCCAGACUGCUACGGGAGGCAGCAGGGGGGAAUAUUGCACAAUGGGCGGAAGCCGGAUGAAGCGACGCCGUGUGAGGGAAGAAGGCCUGCGGGCUGUAAACCUCUUUCAGCAGGGACGAAGCGUGAGUGACGGUACCUGCAGAAGAAGCGCCGGCCAACUACGUG